rnacentral:rRNA from 1 species
UACGGGGGGGGUAAGCGUUGUUCGGAAUUACUGGGCGUAAAGGGCUCGUAGGUGGCCAACUAAGUCAGACGUGAAAUCCCUCGGCUUAACCGGGGAACUGCGUCUGAUACUGGAUGGCUUGAGUUCGGGAGAGGGAUGCGGAAUUCCAGGUGUAGCGGUGAAAUGCGUAGAUAUCUGGAGGAACACCGGUGGCGAAGGCGGCAUCCUGGACCGACACUGACGCUGAGGAGCGAAAGCCAGGGGAGCAAAACGGG